GAUGAACGCUGGCGGCGUGCCUAAUACAUGCAAGUCGAGCGAACAGAUAAGGAGCUUGCUCCUUUGACGUUAGCGGCGGACGGGUGAGUAACACGUGGAUAACCUACCUAUAAGACUGGAAUAACUCCGGGAAACCGGGGCUAAUGCCGGAUAACAUUUUGAACCGCAUGGUUCUAAAGUGAAAGACGGUUUUGCUAUCACUUAUAGAUGGACCCGCGCUGUAUUAGCUAGUUGGUAAGGUAACGGCUUACCAAGGCAACGAUACGUAGCCGACCUGAGAGGGUGAUCGGCCACACUGGAACUGAGACACGGUCCAGACUCCUACGGGAGGCAGCAGUAGGGAAUCUUCCGCAAUGGGCGAAAGCCUGACGGAGCAACGCCGCGUGAGUGAUGAAGGUCUUCGGAUCGUAAAACUCUGUUAUUAGGGAAGAACAAAUGUGUAAGUAACUGUGCACGUCUUGACGGUACCUAAUCAGAAAGCCACGGCUAACUACGUG
rnacentral:rRNA from 1 species